AGUGAACGCUGGCGGUAGGCCUAACACAUGCAAGUCGAACGGCAGCACAGUAAGAGCUUGCUCUUACGGGUGGCGAGUGGCGGACGGGUGAGGAAUACAUCGGAAUCUACUUUUUCGUGGGGGAUAACGUAGGGAAACUUACGCUAAUACCGCAUACGACCUACGGGUGAAAGCAGGGGAUCUUCGGACCUUGCGCGAUUGAAUGAGCCGAUGUCGGAUUAGCUAGUUGGCGGGGUAAAGGCCCACCAAGGCGACGAUCCGUAGCUGGUCUGAGAGGAUGAGCAGCCACACGGGAACUGAGACACGGUCCAGACUCCUACGGGAGGCAGCAGUGGGGAAUAUUGGACAAGGGGCGCAAGCCUGAUCCAGCCAUACCGCGUGGGUGAAGAAGGCCUUCGGGUUGAAAAGCCCUUUUGUUGGGAAAGAAAAGCAGCAGGUUAAUACCCCGCUGUUCUGACGGUACCCAAAGAAUAAGCACCGGCUAACUUCG
rnacentral:rRNA from 1 species